GACUUUUGUUAGAGUUCACUUGCAACACUGCCAGUCUUUUUUUAAAUAUUUUUGACAGAUAUGGCACUGGUUCGUGUCAUAAUAAUGUCAAAUUAGUGUUUAGUCUGUGCAAUGUUUAAGUAGAUUACAAGUUUUUCAACUUCGGCUAACUUCUAUUCACUUUUACGGCUACAGUUGAAUCUACGUUGCAACAAUAUUCUUCAUUAAUAAUAAUUAUCUAAUUAUUGAAUUUUGAAUUAAUAAUGUUACAAUCAACAUGUAUUUUUUUCCCAUUGAAAUGACUUGAAUACAAAUAAUGUAAAAUAAACAUACCCGAAAAAAGUGUUUUUUUUAUUGUUUAUUUUCAUUUGAAAAUUCAUAUUGUGUUCGUAAAGAAGAUAUAUAGUAAAGCAUAAAUUAAGUUUGCAAAAAAAAUUGUAUUGUGGUAUUGAAAGUGAGUGCAAAAGGAAUAGAGUAAAAAUGUCUACAACUGCCAGUGAUCAGGAUAGUGAUUCUUCCAGCAGAUCCCCACAAUCUUAUUAUAGUUAUUGUUCACCCUCUCAACAAGUACCUCAGUUGACUCCAGAUUUGAACAACCUAAUAUAUCUAGACAAUGGCUCAAAGAGAAACAGACCGUUUCUUCGCAUAAUUGAACAGCCACAGGACUACUUUAGAUUUCGCUAUGCUAGUGAAAUGGCUGGAACACAUGGAUGUUUGCUCGGAAAGUCAUCUUCAACAAACAAGAACAAAGUUCACCCUACAGUUGAGCUUGUAAACUACACUGGCCAGGCUGUAAUAAAAUGUCAGUUGGCCCAACAUAAGACACCUGAGGAGCAUCCACACAAGCUAUUCGAAGAAGAACAAGAUAAUGAUGACAGAGAAGUCAGCUGCAUUGUUCCUAAACAAGGCAUUUACAAAGUCGGGUUCGGUGGAAUGGGUAUCAUACACACAGCAAAAAAAAACGUACCAGGCUUACUGUUCCAGAAGUAUGCAGAGAAGUGUAAGAACAUCAGCAACAAAGAGCUCAAAAUCCAAUGCGAGAAUAUGGCUAAAAGCAUAGAUCUCAACAUUGUGCGUUUGAAGUUCAGCGCUCACGACAUCAGCACCGAUCGUGAGAUAUGCAAGCCUGUUUUCUCUGAACCGAUACACAACUUAAAAAGUGCUGCUUCGAACGAUCUGAAGAUAUGUCGCAUCAGUCGUUGUUCCGGGCGUCCAGUUGGAGGAGAAGACGUGUACAUUUUCGUCGAGAAAGUUAACAAAAAAAAUAUACAGAUACGCUUCUUCGAAUUGGACGAGAAUGGCCACCGCGUGUGGACGGCUAACGGGAGUUUCAUGCCUGGCGAUGUUCACCACCAGUACGCCAUAAUCUUCAGGACCCCGGCCUACAAGGAUACGAAGAUAUCAAAGAACGUGAACGUGUAUAUAGAACUGGCGCGGCCCUCGGACGGUCGCACGAGCGAACCUAAGGAGUUCAAGUACAUCGCCGAGCCCAUAUACUCGAACAGCAAGAAGAGAAGGAUGAAUGCCUCAUGUUCUACUUCCCCUGCUUCGUCUGGGUCGUUGAAGAGUAUCAGCGAUCUGCCCGCCCUUGUGACUCUCAAUAACAAUUUCAACGAUGAAAACAACAUUGAAAUGCCGAAAACUGAGCUGCCGGCCGCCGCGGCCGCCGCCCCCUCUCUGGGACUGUGCGACCUCGCCGACGCGCUCAUGGGCUCCGAGAGCGCCGUGGACCUACACUCGGUCGCCGGGAACGCGAUGUGGAGCCCGAGUGCGCCCGUCGAGACGAUGAGCGUCGAGCAGUUCCCGAAUCUGCAACUGAAUUCGACGGAGUUCGAAAAGAUAAUAACGAACGCCCUUCCGCCGGAGGAAAGGAACGACUUCACGGAAUAUGCCCUAAGUUCGUACGAAUCGUUCGAUGACAUCGACGAUGAUCCAAAUGGAUGGAAGUUCAUACGUACGUUACAGAUGAUGCAAACCGACUCUGCACGCAGUAGGCAGCAGACACCGCAGACUAGUAAACCCGCACUGAAAACUGUUGAACCCCAAGAGAGCUCAGACAGGACCGAGCUGAAUGUACCGUCUGAUGCGAAAGAUGCAAACGAAUAUAGCGCUUAUUACAACGCCCAAGACGGCCUCGAAGUGAAACAGCUACUAAGAGAACUGACGCAGAUAAUACGCAACAAGAAGGUUCAUAAGAAACAAGAACUGAAAGACAAACUAAAGAGACUUUUCGACAUAAGACUUUCGAACGGCGACACGUACCUCCACAUGAUACUGUGCAGCAAUCAAUCCAGCAUAGCGAACAUGGUGACGAUAAUUGACAGCGUUAAAAUGACCCACCUCUUGGACUACAGGAAUUUGAAACUACAGACGUUACUGCAUACCGCCAUAGCUAAUGACUUGUCCCAUUACGUGACAUUACUAGUAUCAAAAGGAAGCAGCGUGAGUUUGCAAGAUGUAGCCGGCGACACCGCGUUCCACUACGCGGCCAAAAGUCACAAGUGCUUGGAGCCGCUACUAGCCGCAGUCAAGAAGCAUAACAUACCGUUCGACUUGAACACUUAUAAUUACGAAAAACAAGCGCCUCUGCACUUGGCGAGGACGGGACAGAACGCGCGCCAUCUACUGGAGAGCGGCGCCGACCACCGCGUGCGUGACAUGCACGGCCGCACGCCGCUCCACCUGGCCGCCUACGACAGUCGCCUCGCGCUUGUCGCCGCCCUGCUGGACUACAUACCCUCGAAAGAAAUAGAUGCAACCGAUGAAUCAGGCAACACAGCACUACAGAUUGUUUGUGGCGGGCCCUUAAGACAGAACUCCGUGGAGAUCGUCAAACUAUUACUUGCGAAAAAGGUGAGUAGAACUAUCAUUGAAUGGAAUUUAUGAAAUGAAAUUGAAUGUCAGAAGUCGCUCUACAUGUGGCAGAAGUGAGACUUCUGACGUAAGAUAGGAAGAAAAUAAGAAAGAAGUUUUACGUACUUUUUUAUACUCAAGUUUGAUUGUUUUAUAUUUGACAUGCAAAAGAUAUUUACCUUCAACCUGUUAUAACGAUCUAAGUUGUGCAUAAAGAUAGUAAAAUAGCUUGCAUACAUUAUGAUACUGUGUUUCUCGCCGGAUCUUCUCAUUGGGUCGCGUUUCCGAUCCGGUGGUAGAUUUUGCGAAGCACUACUCUUGCUAGGGCCAGUGUUAGCAACACACCCGGUUUGAGCCCCGAGAGCUCACCUACACAUCAAGGAGAAGCUGAUAUAGCCCCUUAAGGCCAUCAGCAUAGUUAGGAAAAAAAAGAGCAACUUUCAAAGUUAAAGGACAAAUGCCCAAAAGUGGGCCAACUUUGUGUCAAAAGUAUUUGUACUUGAAAAACUAUGCCUUUUUUUUCACGUUGUUUAGUUUAUGUAUUAACAUUUCUUUCACCACGGCAUUGUUUUACAAAAAAAAAAAAUCCUUUUUUUUUUAUUGCUUAGAUGUGUGGACGAGCUCACAGCCCACCUGGUGUUAAGUGGUUACUGGAGCCCAUAGACAUCUACAACGUAAAUGCGCCACCCACCUUGAGAUAUAAGUUCUAAGGUCUCAGUAUAGUCUGUCAUCUGAUUAAUCCAUGGAAUAACCGACACACCUAAUCUCUUAACCCAGAUAGAAAUAUCAGCACUGUCGAUUGCACCUAUAAUUGAGGUCUGCCAUGUACUUUUGUCAGUUUUUCAAUUUUUUUUAUUGAUGAUCACUUUGUUGGUGCAAUUAAAUAAAUAAAUAAAUUAAAACUAUAUAUAAAAAUAAAAGUAGUGCCAACCCUAGCAAAUUUCUCAUUUCGUCCCAAUUAACCGCAAUUUCGGGUAUGCUGGAAUGCUAGUUGCUUAAUUUUAAAUUAGACAACAAAGAUGCCCCCAAGACUCAAUCAUUUUGAUCCUGAUAUAGCAUUAUAUACACCAACAACUACCUUAAAAUUGCUCAUAAAGUUGGAAUUUGUCCCUAAUCGCCCCAUUUUACGGUAUAUCGUUGCCGGCUCCGGAUUUUCAUUUCAUGCUGUUGUUUUUACGUCGAGUUGAGUUUAUAUUCCUCCGUAUUUACUUCUACUUCUGAUACGUUACGAUAUUUAUUCUAUCGAGUUGAGCGUCUCCGUUCCUCGAGCGAAUUUGUGUAUUGUAAGCAGUGUGAGCGUAUUGACUUUUGUUUUAAAAUUAAGUGAGUGUUUGCAUUCAUAAUAAUUAGUGUUAACUUGAAAAAUGUCUACACCUGGUCGAGCUCGGCUAAACCACCCUCUCUCUCGCCGAUGUGCGAAUUGUUCGCUGCGUUUGGCACCUACUCUUCGUAGAAGACCUAUUGCCGAAUUAGACGAACAAAUGCUGAACCUUUUACAAACCUGGAUAACGCCUACACCCGUAAGUUUAUAUGUUCUGUAAAACAUUCUGACUUUAACAUUCUUGAUAUGCAUUACAAAUUAUUGGGUGUGACCGUGUGUUUAUAAAAACAUGAUUCAUAAUAAUUCUCAAUUCAUUAUCUGAAUGUGUACUGUGAAAACUAGCUAAUGCUUGUGUAGAGGCAAAGUCAUUCUAUAUUUUCUUUUUAAGGUAUCCCCUGAUGACAUUCUAUGUAAUGAAUGCUUUGUAUUAUUGCAAGAGCGAGUAAUAACAAACACAGUUUCUUCUCAAGUAAAUAUAUCCCCUGCUCUUGGACAUCUAAACAUAUGUUUUGGAUGUGGCAUGUCAAUUGCUAAUCGCAGAACUCGCACAGUUUCGCAAGACUGUCUUCAAAGGCAUUAUAUUUUAAGAUGGACUCCUGCUCAUCAAGUAUGUAUUAUUAACUUGGCAAAUUAAUAACUUUUGUCAGUAAAAAUAAUUAUUAAUCUUCCAUGUUUUAGAUCAUACGUUUGGAGCGAGUUUGUAGGGCUUGUUGGGAGGCUGCAACAAGAGAUGUGUGUAGACAAGGACGACAUGACAUUGAUAGACCUGUCUUGGAGUCAGUGGAAUCUGGCAGCAUUGAAGAUGCUGUGAUUCCUCAACCACCUCCACUACCAGUUCAGGCACCUCAAGUACGACAUUCGUGGCCAAUACAAACUAAAAUAAACUCUCUAAAAUAUAAACGGGUUUCUGCAAGCUCACAACAUUGCUUGUUUAUUGGGUGCGAGAACAUAGACCGUCUGUUAGUACCUGGAAUUAGUGCUAGAAUAUGUACAUAUCAUUUGUACCGCAAAUACUUGGGCAAACUCCAUACUCAGACUUUACUGGUACUCAAGUUGAUGACAUAUUUACAAAACUUGAAAAAGCUGCUGAGAGAAAUGUGGACUUUAAUGAUAUUAGCUCGAUAUAUUCACACUUAUGCCAUUAUUGGUUGGGACUUAGUGCAGAGCAAUUUAACUCUUAUACAAUGAUUUUCCAAAUCCUUCUGUAGCUCUCAGUAUAUUUUUAGUCAAAUUUAGAACUGGGGCCCAACCAUGAACUGUAUAGAAAACUGCCAAGUUCCGAGCAGUUCAACUUUUUGUCGAACCUAACAGGUUUUCAAUUCGUACCAUGAAGUCACUUUGCCGGACAUAUAGCUGACCCUGCUUCAUUGUCUCUGUCCCGUUUGCUGAAUUUGGAAGCAAAAGAUCAUUCCAAAAUUAAAUAUUUUUAAAGUUGUAUCGGUUUUUCGGUUUUUAACAAACUAACAAUAAAAUCAUUUGAAAUACUCUAAUCUUAUCCUAGUGUUAAUUGAUAUAAUUUUAAAGAAAAAUACAUGAUUUUCUAAUAUUAAAGCCUUAUAAUGCACAAUAACAUGUAACAAAAAAACUUGUGGUUGAUGCUCUUUUCUGAACUUGCAAAUCACUUUGGUUAAUUGAACGAAUUUGAAGGGUUGUUGUUUCUAGAAUACAUUGACUUAUAAGUGGAAAUAUGUUUUGUUAAAUUAAUCAAAAAUCAUUUAACCACCUUGAAUUUGAAUAACCAUUCGCUUUGUGGCAGUCUUACUAAACUAUGUUUUAGUAAAAAAAGUAACAACGUCUAUAAUUUGAAGAAUUUUGUUUGAUCAAUUGGAAAUGGUUCGGAUUUUUUUAAAUUCUCAAGAAUAUUAUAACAAUGUAUCAUAAAGAGUUCAACCACGCGAAUUCUACCGUAGAAAAUGACUAAGUUAUUGGAGAUCCCCAAAAAGAUCCCAAAGAUUAGAUGAAUUAUCUGAUAGACCGAAAUGUGAAAUUCAAAAGGUGCAAUUAUUAAAACAUCAAAAUGAAAACAGCUGGAGGAAUAUAUGAAAAACAGUCCUGAUUAAUGUCGAUGAAAAUAAAUUGAUCAAUAAUUUGAGAAGACUGGUAAUCAAGUAAAGCCAUAUGAUGUAGAAGUUACCGAUAUAACUGCAAAAAGCAAAUUAUUCUAAAUAUUUUCCUAAAAUCAAUGCAAUAUUUUGAUUUUGAUAUUCACCAUGAAUACUGUGUGAACAAAGACUUCAAAAGCAAGUAGAAGCAAAAAAUUUCAGGAUAAACGCUGUUUAUUGUGCACAUGAUCAAUAAGUUGUCAUCUUCUAGUAAAACCUUGUUACAGUACAAUAUUUGGGAACUUCUAGCAGUCCGUUAAUGUUGGGUUGUUGAUCAAUCUUCAGUGUUGGGAGGGGAUGGUUAUAGUUGGUCUUCUUACAAUAUGUCCUCGGUUGCCAUCCUGCUUUUAAGUAUUUACUCACUAAAUAUCUUCAUAUCAGAAUUACAAAUCUAAAAAAAAAACAUACUAAACACAUACUCUGAGAAUUCUGUGUUGUUAAUGAAUGAUUUAACAAUAUUUUCAUUGAAGUACUUUUACUACUUGCAUAUUUUCCAACUAUAGUAGAAUUAUUUUGUCCGUGCGGUUUCGGUCAUAAAACAUAGCCCGGCUAGGGCGUGAGCAUGUUGCGCGGGCGCAACGCCAUUAUCGAUAAAGACAAAUGAGUUAUCGAAGGCAGGCACACGGCGGCGAGGUGGUAUACGAAGGGUGGUGAGACAUUGUUAUGUUAUGAGUCAUUUGUUGUACCUACCUGCAAAUUAUAGUACAUAAUAUUAUGUCGAAAAGAAAUGUAAUUUUGUGCAUUCGCUCUCUGAAUUUUUUUUGUGACACAAUGGCUACUCCUUUGUUUUGUACCAAAAUAUACCAGCACAAGCACGUGUUUUUAUCAACAAUGUGUUAAAUUGUUUUACUGAAAUGAGAAUAUAUCCCGAAAAGUUACAAAGUGUUAAUUUCUGCCGCUCUCGUUAACUUGUUGCGGUGAUAUGUGGUGUAUGUGUUCGAUUAGUGAUUUUUUCUUUCAUUUUUAUCAGUAACCCACAAAAUGACAAAACUAAAUACACUAUCGAUAACGCUUAUCGACAACAAUAAUGCGCAUCACUCUGCCCGUCCAUAAGGCUCGUGAGUGGAAGAGCGAAAUACUCGCUGCAUCUCUCCGAUUUUUUAUGACCCAAACUGACGGACAAAAUAAUUCUACUAUAGGUAGUAUUAACAUGUAAUGUUAAUAAACAAAUAGAUGUGCAUUACCAUUUUUUAUUAUUAAAUUUUAUAACAAGUUUUAUCAUUUAUAAAAUAACUUAAUAUCAUAUAUGUAAGUAGAAAGUACAUAUUUGAAUAAAGAUUUUAAUACCAAUUAUUGCAAUAUUGUUUUCUAUAGUAGGGAUAAAUGUUCUUUAUGUAGCAUUGAUCUUUUGAUUGUUCCAUGUGCACUAUCAGUACACCCUCUGACAUCUGAGUAUCCUGGUUUCCCAAAAAAUCUAAAAUAUAAGAGAUAUUAAUUAGUUAUAGUGAGCUAUGUUUUACAAAUUAGACAGAAUUCAAAAUAAUUGAAGUUCUAUGUAUUGUAAACAUUGUAAAGCUAAGAUUUUAGUUACCUUUUAUCUGACUAAAACUGUUUUUAGAUAGAACUUUGGUAUUAAGUAAAAUGAAAAGAGUUAAUUUCUUAUAUCCACUAAGCAAUCUUAAAAUCAUACAUCUAAAUAAAUAAAACUGUUUAAUGUGUGAUAAAAAAAUACAACACAAUUCACUGAAUUUUUUUUUUACACCAACGUUUAGUCGCAGUUUUAUAAAUACUCGCGUUUAUAAACAUAUAAAAAAUAAAGCAGGUCAAAAAGAGUUACGUUUUCGUAACUGCAAAGGAGAAACCCCAUUUUGGGCCUAAGCGUUACACGAAUGGGAUAUGUACCAAAAAAUUCGUCUAUUUUGCUUGAUUAACCUAUUAAAAUCUUAGCUUCAUUGACAAUGGCCAAGUGUAGAAAAUAAGUUGAAUUCAAUUUUUUGUUUUAAACAAUCUUUGUAAACAUCUGCAACACUUAUUUCAAUAUACGUAACUAGCUCCACAAACGUGCGGAUUAGGAUUAGAACAUCCAUAAAAUAGGAUCGAUUUAGUGGAAAUCAAGUGUAAAAAAUAAUUAAUACUCUUUUGCUUAAGGAUAAAUGACUGUUUUUAUAGGUAUUUUAAUCAAUGUAAAUAGAGUAUGGCCAUCGAAUCGUGACACAACUACUUACAAUGGCGACAAUUCAAAAUAUCUACAACCGACAACAUUAAAUAUAGCAUGAAAGGGUAGUUUUGCAUUUUUAUAUUAAUGUGACUAUGCCAUGGAAAAACACAAAUGUAUCAAAUCGUGUUAUGUUAUCUUUAAUGUUGCCAACUGAAGAUAUUUUGGAUUUUGCCGUGAAGCAGUAAUGCGUUUCAGUUUGAAGGGCGGGGCAGCCGUUGUAACUAUACUGAGACCUUAGAACUUAUAUCUCAAGGUGGGUGGCGCAUUUACGUCGUACAUGUCUAUGAGCUCCAGUAACCACUUAACAUCAGGUGGGCUGUGAGCUCGUCGAUGGGUAUCUAAGCAAUAAAAAAUAAAAAUAAAAAAGGCAUGAAAUAAAAUGAAAUGAAAUGUGAUGAGAUAAUAUUAUGGGAGCACGUAAUGAUUUAUAUUUUAUAUAAAAAAGUUAUCAGUUAAAUAUAGUUUUUCAUAUAAAAAAGUUUUCAUUAAAAUUAAAAUAAGACUGACCUACGGGUCUUAGUUACCAGGUCAUAAAAUCCCUUAAAAAAAUCAUUUCGUGCGCAGCGCGUUUCGCAUUACGUUGUUUGUAAUUUUUGGCUUUCGUUCGUUUUCGUAAACAACCUAACGCGCGAUUUCUCGUAACAGGUUCCAUUUUUAUUUUAAAGCAACCUGUUGCUGCAACAGGUUUCGUAAAAAAUUACUCAUCUUUAGUAGGAAACAGCCUCAAAAAUAUCGUUUUUAUUAAAAUAUCUCGAACAAUAAACAUAACCUAAAAUGUAAACAUUGUCUGAUUUUACCAAUUUGGCCAUUGCUGGGAGACCUGAAAAUUGGGCUCAUGAAACCUUCUUAGGUAUUGUAACUUAUGCCCAAAUUCUAGCACUGUAACGCCAGGCCCAAGUUUGUAUGGAUUUCGGGUUUGUCCUUUAACAAGACUUGCCUUGAUCGAUCGAAUUAUCGACUGUUCUAAUGUCAAAAAUGAGUUCAUGGUACGCUUAGAGCCCGUCAGCAUGUUGAAAUGUAGUCACGUGGCCUCUGACCGGGUUGGGUCAUGGGGUCGCUCGCUGGCUAGUUUUUUAACGCGUUCAUGGUACGAAAUAGCAGGACAGGUCAAAUUUCGGCCUAAGUUGACCUGCUCUAAGACUUCAUGGUAGGGCCCCUGAAUUACAAAACUAUGGCUAUAAAACUCAUAUGCUUACAUCAUUAUUAGAUAAUGAACAUCAAUUAACUACUCAGCAGGCUAAUGAGUCUAGAUGUGUAACAAUGUGUCGUUGGGUGGUAGAGGUUGUGAACGGAAGAAUUAAAAAAGAUUUUAAAUUAUUUCGGCAAGAGUAUUUUAAUAGAGCAUCAAGUCACCUUAUGGUUGAUUUUAAGAUAGCAUGUUCCCUUUUAAAUAAACUCCAUCCCACAAUUGAAAAUAGGUCUAAUGUUGAAGAAUAUGUUAAUAUUGCUCAGACUAGAUUAAAUACAGUAAAUUAUCUAUCGGGAUUUAUUCAACGGGAAUAUAUAAAUAGAAGACGUACGAUUUUCUAAAGAAUUAACAGCAGUGCUUCCUCCCGAUUUGGAUAGUUUUCCAAGACUAACAUUAAAUGAUUUGAGAAGAUUUGCAUUAGGAUCAUACCAACUUAAGCAGGCGAGGUCCUAUUAUGGGGAGCAUGUGCGAGCAAACAGUGCCUAUUGUAUAGAAAUAAGCAAUGAAAUAAUAGAAGAUUUGCCCUUAAUAUUGGGACAAAAUAAAUAUUUACUUAGGGCAAGAAUAAAGUCACGACACGUAAACAAUAGGACUUACUAUACUUAUCUGUUGAUAGCUAGAGAGCAAGAAAGGGCAAACUCUUUAGAGAGCGUCAUUGCUUAUUACUGUACAGUGUACUUGCUUAGUGGGAAAUCGUACAGUAGGGUGCUGCGCUCAUACGAUGACCGUAUUAUGGUAUUUAAGCUGGGGACGUUUUACUGAUAUAAGCGCCCCAGCAUUGUCACUAAAUGACCUAUUUUAUGAAGAGUAAAUGUUUUUUGCAAUUGA